UUUCCGUAGGUGAACCUGCGGAAGGAUCAUUGUCACACAUCCUAAUGGAUGCUUGUGCCAACAAGCAGACCCAGCGAACCAUUCUCCUAUCACUUGAGGGGCUGCAUCGCGAGGUGCAGCUGUCGGCGGUCGGGCCCUUGCUUCAGGGGCCGGAGUCCUUGCUGGGUUCACCGUUGCGGGUGAGCACCGGCCGUCCGACGGGGGCCGCUCUUGGGCCUCGCACACGGGAGAGUGCGGGGGCGGCGUUUCCCACUCCAGCUGUCCCAUCCGGGGCAGCUGCGCAACCAACCAAAACACUAUGCAAAAACCGACUGAAGACCGAUCCUUUGCGGGCGCCUUCGGGAGCCCUGCCUCGGAUCAAAAACAAACUAAAGACAACUCUCAACAACGGAUAUCUUGGCUCUC
rnacentral:misc_RNA from 1 species